rnacentral:rRNA from 1 species
GGAACUCUGAACCAGCCAUACCGCGUGCAGGAAGAAUGCCCUAUGGGUUGUAAACUGCUUUUAUUUGGGAAGAACCCUGAUUACGUGUAAUCAGCUGACGGUACCAAACGAAUAAGGACCGGCUAACUCCGUGCCAGCAGCCGCGGUAAU